AAAAGAAGAACAAAGAUUAAGACGCCACAUCCUGUGGCAACAUCUUUGUAACCCACAUGCUGUGGG
rnacentral:sRNA from 2 species